UACGUAGGGUGCGAGCGUUAAUCGGAAUUACUGGGCGUAAAGCGUGCGCAGGCGGUUUUGUAAGCCAGAUGUGAAAUCCCCGGGCUUAACCUGGGAAUGGCGUUUGGGACUGCAAGGCUGGAGUUUGGCAGAGGAGACUGGAAUUCCUGGUGUAGCAGUGAAAUGCGUAGAUAUCAGGAGGAAUACCGAUGGCGAAGGCAGGUCUCUGGGCUAUAACUGACGCUCAUGCACGAAAGCGUGGGGAGCAAACAGG
rnacentral:rRNA from 1 species